rnacentral:rRNA from 1 species
AACGAACGCUGGCGGCAUGCCUAACACAUGCAAGUCGAACGAGACCUUCGGGUCUAGUGGCGCACGGGUGCGUAACGCGUGGUAACCUGCCCUUAGGUUCGGAAUAACUCCCCGAAAGGGGUGCUAAUACCGGUUAAUGUCUUCGGACCAAAGAUUUAUCGCCUUUGGAUGGGCCCGCGUUGGAUUAGCUAGUUGGUAGGGUAAAAGCCUACCAAGGCGACGAUCCAUAGCUGGUCUGAGAGGAUGAUCAGCCACACUGGGACUGAGACACGGCCCAGACUCCUACGGGAAGCAGCAGUGGGGAAUAUUGGACAAUGGGCGAAAGCGUGAUCCAGCAAUGCCGCGUGAGUGAUGAAGGCCUUAGGGUUGUAAAGCUCUUUUACCCGGGAUGAUAAUGACAGUACCGGGAGAAUAAGCUCCGGCUAACUCCGUG